CAGAGUCAAAAAAUGAUUAAGAUGACUACUGCUAAGGCAAAAUUAUAUCGCAUUUCCUAGGUUAUAACAAGAGUUGACUGUAUCAAGAUAGUAAAAGUUCAUCUUUAGUAUGAACUUAUUUGACAUACCAGCUAUUUUUUUGGGUCCAUUACUUGUGAAAAUUGGUCAGCAAAGCUCACAAUAGUAUCGUUAAGUAUUCUUAAGUGGUGUUUUUGCAACGUUGAACAAAUAUAUUUUCUCUUGUGUACAGUUAUCAAAAAUUCUUUCAUAUUUGGAUAAAGUCAUUUUGUUUUAGGUUUGUAUUCAACUCAAAUCCCAUGCAAUCACGGAAUCGGCGCUCGACUGACAGCGAUACUUCAAUGCCGGUGCAUGCCGGGAUAGGCCGGAGACCGCAUAGUGUUAACCAUGCUCUCUUACCAAACUCACCUUUACCGCAAUUCUACUUGGGUUAUCUUCUUUAUUUAAGUAAAUUGUACAAGAUCAAGUCAUACUUUCAGUCACGUGCAUUCCUUACUGUGUCAAUAAUUACACAUCAACCGGAUGCUCUAAUCAAUACAGCGGUUUAUGUUCCCCCGUUUGUAAACGGGUUGUGUGCCCUGAUUGUCCAUCGAGAUGAUGUGGAAAGAAUACGGUUAUACCAAAAAACAUAGAAAGAAAUUCCACCUCCUGAUUUUCGGUAUUUUGGACAAUAAUUGCAGGCUUAGAUUGUUUUGGAAAACGUCUUACGUCGUCGAUAGCGAUUUGAUGGAAUAAAAUACAGUCGUCAUCUGUAUGGUGAAGUGCUUUUUUAUUAAACGACUUACACUCAAAGAAACUGGUAGAAAAAAUGGGAAAUUAACAAUCAUUUCAACCUGUGCAAGAUUACGCUGCAUCAUUUUAAAGAAUGAAAUGGCUAAUGAAAUGUAUAUUUUGCUGUUUUGCAAAAAAAAAAGGGAUGCAAAUGCAGUGAUCCAUUGUAGCCAAAAUUUUAGGACUUACAAAUGUAUAAAACAACCUAUUUUAGUUAUGUAAAAAAAUGAAGCAUGCAUACAAAUUAUAAAUUUAAUUUACAUUACUAGGCAAAGCUCUCGUCAAUGAAAUGUAUUUCCUUCAA